rnacentral:rRNA from 1 species
GUGCCAGCAGCCGCGGUAAUACGUAGGUGGCAAGCGUUGUCCGGAAUUAUUGGGCGUAAAGGGCGCGUAGGCGGUCCCUUAAGUCAGAUGUGAAAUCCCGAGGCUUAACCUCGGGCGUGCAUUUGAAACUGGGGGACUAGAGUGCAGGAGAGGUAAGUGGAAUUCCUAGUGUAGCGGUGAAAUGCGUAGAUAUUAGGAGGAACACCAGUGGCGAAGGCGACUUACUGGACUGUAACUGACGCUGAGGCGCGAAAGCGUGGGGAGCAAACAGGAUUAGAUACCCUGGUAGUCCACGCUGUAAACGAUGGAUACUAGGUGUGGGAGGUAUCGACCCCUUCCGUGCCGCAGUAAACGCAAUAAGUAUCCCGCCUGGGGAGUACGGCCGCAAGGUUGAAACUCAAAGGAAUUGACGGGGGCCCGCACAAGCAGCGGAGCAUGUGGUUUAAUUCGAAGCAACGCGAAGAACCUUACCAGGACUUGACAUCCUCUGCAUUACUCGUAACUGAGGAAACCCUUCGGGGCAGAGAGACAGGUGGUGCAUGGUUGUCGUCAGCUCGUGUCGUGAGAUGUUGGGUUAAGUCCCGCAACGAGCGCAACCCUUAUCAUUAGUUGCUAACAGUAAGAUGAGCACUCUAAUGAGACUGCCGAGGAUAACUCGGAGGAAGGUGGGGAUGACGUCAAAUCAUCAUGCCCCUUAUGUUCUGGGCUACACACGUGCUACAAUGGGUAGAACAACGAGACGCAAGCUAGUGAUAGCAAGCAAAUCUCUAAAAGCUACUCUCAGUUCGGAUUUGUAGGCUGCAACCCCGCCUACAUGAAGUUGGAGUUG